CGCAUCUGUGCAUGCAGCAUAUCAAUAAGCGGAGGAAAAGAAACUAACAAGGAUUCCCCUAGUAACGGCGAGUGAAGCGGGAAGAGCUCAAAUUUGAAAUCUUAAAGGGUUUCCCUUUACGAAUUGUAGUUUAAAGAAGUGUUUUCUGUUGAGGUUUUGGUAAAAGUUCUUUGGAAUAGGACAUCAUAGAGGGUGAGAAUCCCGUAUUUGACCUUUACUUUCAACUUUGUGAUACACUUUCAAAGAGUCGGAUUGUUUGGGAAUGCAGUCCAAAAUGGGUGGUAAAUUUCAUCUAAAGCUAAAUAUUGGCGAGAGACCGAUAGCGAACAAGUACCGUGAGGGAAAGAUGAAAAGAACUUUGAAAAGAGAGUUAAACAGUACGUGAAAUUGUCAAAAGGGAAGCGUUUGACACCAGUGUUGUUUUUCUGAAAAUCAAUUAAAGAACUGUUUAUGCUAAGCUGUUUAGACUUUAUCAGCUAUCUGCUUAGUUUUGAGCUUUUCUUUAAUGCACUUUUCAGUUAACAAGUCAACAUCAAUUUCUUUUGCUGUAAAAAAGCUUGAGGAAGGUGGCUUGAGAUUCGUCUUAAGUGUUUAUAGCCUCUUGCCUAUGCAGUCGGAGAGAUUGAGGUCUGCAGCGUAGAUCCUUCGGGGCUAAAUGCAUUUGUGCUAAGUUAUAGCAUUUUAUAGACAACUUGUUGACUAUGAUUUGUCUUGUAGCUUACUCGCUUAUGUUAUUUUACCUACGCUUAGGAUGUUGAGCGCAUGUCUCUCUCU
rnacentral:rRNA from 1 species